GCGGGCGUAGCUUAGCGGUUUAAAGCGCCUCCCUGUCACGGAGGAGAUCGUGGGUUCAAAUCCCAUCGCCCGCG
rnacentral:tRNA from 1 species